rnacentral:rRNA from 1 species
UACGAAGGGGGCUAGCGUUGCUCGGAAUGACUGGGCGUAAAGGGCGCGUAGGCGGUUCAUACAGUCAGGCGUGAAAUUCCUGGGCUCAACCUGGGGGCUGCGCUUGCGACGUAUGGGCUGGAGUGCGGAAGAGGGUCGUGGAAUUCCCAGUGUAGAGGUGAAAUUCGUAGAUAUUCGGAAGAACACCAGUGGCGAAGGCGACUACCUGGUCUGGCAUUGACGCUCAUGUGCGAAAGCGUGGGGAGCAAACAGG